AAACUCACCUACAAGGUGGCUUGCCAAGAUCAUGAAGUUUUUCCACUGGGUGAGGUUGACCCAUUUCAUUCUAUGUGUGAUGACCCCUGACAUUCCCCAAAUACAGGGAAGCAGAAACUCAAACAGCAUAAUUUGUGUCAGUAGGGAACAGUCUUCAGGCUCUGCUCUG
ensembl:snRNA U1 U1 spliceosomal RNA